GACGAACGCUGGCGGCGUGCUUAACACAUGCAAGUCGAACGGAAAGGCCCUGCUUGCCGGGUACUCGAGUGGCGAACGGGUGAGUAACACGUGGGUGAUCUGCCCUGCACUUCGGGAUAAGCUUGGGAAACUGGGUCUAAUACCGGAUAGGAGCCAUCUUUAGUGUGGUGGUUGGAAAGUUUUUUCGGUGUAGGAUGAGCUCGCGGCCUAUCAGCUUGUUGGUGGGGUAAUGGCCUACCAAGGCGGCGACGGGUAGCCGGCCUGAGAGGGUGUACGGCCACAUUGGGACUGAGAUACGGCCCAGACUCCUACGGGAGGCAGCAGGGGGGAAUAUUGCACAAUGGGCGCAAGCCUGAUGCAGCGACGCCGCGUGGGGGAGGAAGGCCUUCGGGUUGUAAACUCCUUUCGCUAGGGACGAAGCUUUUUGUGACGGUACCUAGAGAAGAAGCACCGGCUAACUACGUG
rnacentral:rRNA from 1 species